GUAGUAAGACUUAUAGGAAAUAUUGCUGAUAAUUGCUGAAGGCUUUGACUGAAAUUAUUUCUGAAAAGUCUUUAUAAAAUACUUAUUGGAGUUUCUGGAUCCUAGCCAGCAGGAGCUUACAAUUUAUGACUUCGUGGAUGGCAACAGAUAUUAAGGACACGCAUGCAGCUGAGAAAGUAUUGAAUGAGUUUUACUGAUGUGCCAUUGUAAGAGAGACCUUAAGAUAGAAAAACUGCCAGGAGGGACCUGUAGGUCUGCUUUCUCCACUCAUGUUUGGAGAACACGUCUCCAAAGAAAUUCAUCUGAACUUGAUGCAGAGAUUCCUGGACUAGAUUCCUGAGAAAUCUAAUGUCAGCUACAGAAAUGCCCCAACUGAUGAAUUUCGUCAUGAAGCAGAGCCUCAGAGCAAAAGCACAUCAGCUAAGCAUGCCCCAGUAUGAGUGGCUGAGUAUGCCAUAUUAGUCUUUCAUAGUCUACCAUAGAAGACUUUCAAUUUUUUGCUUCAUACUACUUAAAAUAAUGUAGAAAAAUCUAUGUAGUUCUUUCACAUUAAGUUAACAGCUAAAAUUUUUUACUCUAAGUUUAAUUUGUUGAAAAUGAUGCAAUAUCAGUCUAAUUGUAAAUAUUAACAUUAAAACAAACUAUUGAAUCACUUUAAUACUUUUUCAAUGGAAUCUUAAUACAAUAACAAUUCAAUGGCCACAAUAUUUAAUUGAAAAAUACGUGGACAAGGUCAUUUUAAUAGUCAGAAAUUUUCUACCAUCUAUAUUUUUCUUCCUGAGUCCAUUUCCAUUCAACUUCUCUGUAAAGAUUUUUAAUUGAAUAUAAUAUUUUUGUUCCUGAAUAUCUUAUAUUGAUCAGAUAUAUUUUACUAUAAAAAUUAUGUAUAUGAAUUGAAAUUUUACAUUAAUUUUUUUCUGUGAUGUUUCUAAGUAAUAAAAAUUUAUUCUGAAUAGAUUUAACUUUAUUAUCAUGACACUAAGCAAUUAUUUUACACAUUUUUAUAGUUAUAUAAUUACACAGUUAUAUUUAUAAACAUAAAAAUAAACUAUAUAAAAAGGCUCAUAAUGAGGAACUUUAGCUCAUUAUCUGCAUUUAAAUAUUACUGAUUAUUGGAAUGAAUUAGGGUUCAAUGGAAUUCAAUAGCCAAAAUAAUUCAGAGUAGAAAGUAUACAAAAAAUAUAUUAAUUCCUAGCAUAUUAUUUUUAAUCCAAAUCUGCCAAGUUUAUGAUAAGAAUGAAUAAGGAAGCAGAGAAAUGAUUGAUGAGUGACAGCUGUCAGAAAACUUGGCACUUAAGUAAAAAUCCCUAUGGAUUUUCAUGUGUAUCGUUGUGAUGGUGAAGGACCAGCAAGGUGUCUCUACUACAAUUGUAUUCUCAGCAUGAACCUGAGGAGCUGGAAAUUUCCUUGCUUUAAAAUUACCCAUGUUUGCUUUUAUACUUAAAACAUUUUUAUAUAAUCCAAGAAUACUAGCACUUCAAUUGGAAGGCCACUAAUUAUUUGCCAUAUUUCACAAAUAUAAUUAAUUUUCUCAUCACCCAGUAGAGCCAAAGCUUGUACAUAGGGGUAUGCAUUUACAUUAGAAAUUAAAAUGGAAGUCAAGGUAGAGCUAUUUUUUUUAAAAUGAGAAAGUAAAAUUUAUGUCUCUGUGCAAUGUAGGAGUGAUUCUGAAAGAAGGGCAAAUCAAACAAAUGUAAGAACUGUUGUUUGGAUUCUCUCAGAAAUAUCGAAAAAGGGACAAUUAAAAUGUAUUAACCAAAAGAAAAAAGGAAAACCAAUCAGUUAUGUGUGUGGCAACAGCAUUCCCAUCACCACAGCAGGUUGUUUAACCUUCCUGUGAAUUUAGAAGACACACAUGUGUUAGCAACUUAAAGCCUAAGCUUGGUGAGAAUACUUUGUGAACUCUUUCUCAAUAGAUUCCUGGGGACCACUGGGAAAGGUGAUGCUGGCCUCCAGAGACUUUCAAAGAAGCCAUGUGUGCUCCUCUCUACUAACAGCAUAGAUGGCCGUUGAGGUUGUACUCAUGAUACCCCUAAAUUCACUGAAGAUUUAGUACUCUUUGCAGCCUUGUCUUCUAUACUGUGGGGAAAUGAAAGAAUAGAACUGUAUUUCUAUUGUCAGCAAAUUGGUAGGGGGAAGAAACAACAGCCAAGAGGAGACAAUUGGUGAAUAGCAGUUUCCAAAUGGUUGGCUCCAGAGCACAGUGGUAGCUUGUAAUGAACACAUUCAGUAGACAUUUUAAGCUUUUACAUUUGGGUGUAUUUGAUUUGGUCUUAAUAUUUAUAGAUGAUAUUAAUGGUAGUAAUUAGUGUUUUCCCACUACUCCAGUCCUUAGAGCUCUCUCCAUUCUGUGUGCUCAUUCACACUAAGCCCAAUUCAGAAAAAAACCGAACUUUUAAAAAUGCUUCUUACAUGUCACUCACAUAUCCAUUUAUUCAUCUAUCCAAGACAUAUUUCUUAUGCAGCCACUAUGAAGUUGGCAUUGGAAGUAAAGUGGUGGAUGAGGUAUGGAUUAGAUUUGAUUGAGCUCAUGGAAUUUAGAGCACCAUGGAGCAAUAGAUUAAAAAAUAGUUGAAUAAUUACUUAUAAUUAUAUUUAGAACUUUGAAAAAUAACUUUAGGUACUAUGGGAGCACAUGACUUAUCAUCUAGACUGUAAUUACCUUGAAGUCAAAGACCACAUCUUACACUUCUUUUGGAUAUCUCUGUAGCUCCUAACAUAGAUCGGAAUACAGAGUAUAAGAUGCUCAAUAAAUAUUUGAUUGAUUUUAUAUUUGAGGCUGAAAUGAUUGAUGUCAAAUCAAGUAUUUUUAUUUUCUUCUACACUGAGCAAAUGUCAAGACUGCACUGUAAUUUUAAUCUGUACUUUGUGCCUGAAGUCUUCGUUUGCAAAGCUCACUGAAGUUGUGGCCCUUUCCCUACACUUGUGCUCUGGACAGAGACUAUGUUUAAAUAAGAGCAGCAGAAUUUUUUUUU
rnacentral:lncRNA from 10 species